GUCGAUAAUAUUGAGCUGAAACGCUGUUUCGCUUUAAACAUAAAAAUUUAUUGAAGUUAACUGCGUAAAGGUCUCACCAGUGACCAUCUCUCCAAGCGUUUAUCACAUUUCUGAAAAAUGUUUUACACUUUUGUUCGGACAAAAAUCCAUAGUUAUUGAUACGCUCGGCCCGGGGCCGCUAACAGGCGAAUACACCUCCUGCAGCCAGCUGACAGGAAGGUUGUGCGGGCUGGAAGUACUCCGACGACAGCGACAACGGAAAAGCCGAUCUCUCAGUAUCGCGCGUAACAGCAUAAAAUGUCAAAAUUGUAAUCUGGAGAGCAGCCCGUCAUUCGUAGUAUUUACACAGUAAUACCGUCGAUAUUAGUGCUUGCGGGAAAUAAGAAGCAGAGCGUGUAAGUUCGUCUGCGAGUCGUCUUCGAAGUCUCCUUGGAGAUCCCUUGUACAUACCGACAUCUAUCAGAAAAUGUUUUUUCAAAACCCAGAACAGAAGAGGAACAGUGUUAACAACAACUCUGGACAAACAGCAACAAUUGCCAUCGAUGCUGACAGACGUUGUGGAAACGCGUGUGACAUCGCAGAGGAUGUGGAUUUAAUAACUAGAUUCUGUAUGCCAGUUUGUUCGCGUGACACGCACACUCGAGAACUUGCUUUGGACGUGAUCGAGAAAACGGUAGAAGGGUGGCUGGAUGGAUAUGGUAGUCCAAGACACACAAGGAUGUCACUGAUACCACCUAGUCAUAGACUGGAGAAUUUCAGUACAAAUGGUCACUGCUACACCGAUACAGUUUCAUCAGGAGACGGCAUCAGAAGCGUUCCGAAAGAAUAUUUAUCUCUUGUUACGUUACAUCUUCCUGCCUUACUGCGACUGUCCGUAAACUGCCCGUUUCUUGACGUGCGGGAUAAAUGCAAGCGAGUACUCAAGCUUGUACAGCUUUGCGUUGGACGCCAGUGAUGCAGCGAAGGAGCAGCCAGUUAACACAGUUAGGCCAUUGCUCUCAUCAGACGCAGAGGCCACGUGCUCAGC